AUUGAACGCUGGCGGCAGGCCUAACACAUGCAAGUCGAACGAGUGGCGGACGGGUGAGUAAUGUCUGGGAAACUGCCUGAUGGAGGGGGUUAACUACGGGAAACGGUAGCUAAUACCGCAUACCAUCAGAUGUGCCCAGAUGGGAUUAGCUUGUUGGUGGGGUAACGGCUCACCAAGGCGACGAUCCCUAGCUGGUCUGAGAGUAUGACGGGCCACACGGGACCAGAGGCACGGUCCAGACUCCUACGGGAGGCAGAAGUGGGGAAUAUUGCACAAUGGGCGCAAGCCGGAUGCAGCCAUGCCGGUUGUAUGAAGAAGGCCUUCGGGUUGUAAAGUACGUUCAGCGGGGAGGCGUUACCCGCAGAAGAAGCACCGGCUAACUCCGUGCCAGCAGCCGCGGUAAUUC
rnacentral:rRNA from 1 species